rnacentral:rRNA from 1 species
UGCAGUCGAGCGGAACGAGUUAUCUGAACCUUCGGGGAACGAUAACGGCGUCGAGCGGCGGACGGGUGAGUAAUGCCUGGGAAAUUGCCCUGAUGUGGGGGAUAACCAUUGGAAACGAUGGCUAAUACCGCAUAAUAGCUUCGGCUCAAAGAGGGGGACCUUCGGGCCUCUCGCGUCAGGAUAUGCCCAGGUGGGAUUAGCUAGUUGGUGAGGUAAGGGCUCACCAAGGCGACGAUCCCUAGCUGGUCUGAGAGGAUGAUCAGCCACACUGGAACUGAGACACGGUCCAGACUCCUACGGGAGGCAGCAGUGGGGAAUAUUGCACAAUGGGCGCAAGCCUGAUGCAGCCAUGCCGCGUGUAUGAAGAAGGCCUUCGGGUUGUAAAGUACUUUCAGCAGUGAGGAAGGCGGAUACGUUAAUAGCGCCCUCAUUUGAC